AACGAACGCUGGCGGCAGGCUUAACACAUGCAAGUCGAGCGAGACCCUUCGGAGUCUAGCGGCGGACGGGUGAGUAACACGUGGGCAUCCUGCCGUGAGACUGGGAUAACACCGGGAAACCGGUGCUAAUACAGGAUAAUCCUUUUCCUCACAUGAGGAAAAGCUGAAAGUCGGUUUCGGCUGACACGUACAGAUGGGCCCGCGGCGCAUUAGCUCGUUGGUGAGGUAACGGCUCACCAAGGCGACGAGGCGUCGCAGACCUGAGAGGGUGAUCGGCCACACUGGGACUGAGACACGGCCCAGACUCCUACGGGAGGCAGAAGUAGGGAAUCUUCCACAAUGGACGAAAGUCUGAUGGAGCAACGCCGCGUGAGCGAUGAAGGCCUUCGAGUCGUAAAGCUCUGUUGUUAGGGAAGAACAAGUACCGGAGUAACUGCCGGUACCUUGACGGUACCUAACCAGAAAGCCACGGCUAACUACGUGCCAGCAGCCGCCGCGGUAA
rnacentral:rRNA from 1 species